GGCUUAUUGAUAAUAAUUUUAAGUCUAUCUGCCCAAUGAUUUUAAAAUUUAAUGGCUGCAGUAUAAUUAACUGUACAAAGGUAGCAUAAUCAAUUGUUUUUUAAUUAAGAACUAGAAUGAAAGAAUUAAUGAGAUAUAUUCUGUCUCAUAUAUAUAUUAUGAAAUUAAAUUUUUAGUAAGAAUGCUAAAAUAUGUUUAUGGGACGAUAAGACCCUAUAGAAUUUUAUAUUUAUAUUUGGAAUUAAAAUUUAUUUUAAGUAUAAGUAUUUGAUUGGGAGGAUUAAUAAAUUUAAUUAACUUUAUUUAAAAUAUUAACUUUAAUUAAAGAAUUAUUUUUGAUCUUUUAUUAAAAAUUAAAAGAAAAAAUUACCUUAGGGAUAACAGCGUAAUAUCUUUUUAAAGAUCAUAUUAAUAAAGAUGGUUGCGACCUCGAUGUUGAAUUAAGAUAAAUUUUAAACGGAGAAGUUUAAUGAUUAAGUCUGUUCGACUUUUAAAAUCUU
rnacentral:rRNA from 1 species